rnacentral:rRNA from 1 species
AACAGUUUCGAGGUAGUGACGAGAAAUAACAAUACAGGGCAUUUUAUGCUUUGUAAUUGGAAUGAUGGGAAUGUAAAACCCUUCCAGAGUAACAAUUGGAGGGCAAGUCUGGUGCCAGCAGCCGCGGUAAUUCCAGCUCCAAUAGUGUAUAUUAGAGUUGUUGCAGUUAAAAAGCUCGUAGUUGGAUUUCUGUCGCGGUCAGUCGGCGGCGCCCGUAUGGGUGUGCGUGGGGCUUGCCCGCGGCUUCCUUCCAGUAGCCUUCCGCGCUUCGCUGCGUGUGUUGGUAUUCUGGAACUUUUACUUUGAGAAAAAUAGAGUGUUUCAAGCAGGCUUGUCGCCCUGAAUACUGCAGCAUGGAAUAAUAAGAUAGGACCUCGGUUCUAUUUUGUUGGUUUCUGGGACCAAGGUAAUGAUUAAUAGGGACAGUUGGGGGCAUUCGUAUUUAACUGUCAGAGGUGAAAUUCUUAGAUUUGUUAAAGACGAACUACUGCGAAAGCAUUUGCCAAGGAUGUUUUCAUUAAUCAAGAACGACAGUAGGGGGUUU